rnacentral:rRNA from 1 species
GUCUGGGGCGGCGGGCUUAAACAUGCAGUCGAGCGGAGAGAGGUAGCUUGCUACUGAUCUUAGCGGCGGACGGGUGAGUAAUGCUUAGGAAUCUGCCUAUUAGUGGGGGACAACAUUUCGAAAGGAAUGCUAAUACCGCAUACGUCCUACGGGAGAAAGCAGGGGAUCUUCGGACCUUGCGCUAAUAGAUGAGCCUAAGUCGGAUUAGCUAGUUGGUGGGGUAAAGGCCUACCAAGGCGACGAUCUGUAGCGGGUCUGAGAGGAUGAUCCGCCACACUGGGACUGAGACACGGCCCAGACUCCUACGGGAGGCAGCAGUGGGGAAUAUUGGACAAUGGGCGCAAGCCUGAUCCAGCCAUGCCGCGUGUGUGAAGAAGGCCUUAUGGUUGUAAAGCACUUUAAGCGAGGAGGAGGCUACUUUAGUUAAUACCUAGAGAUAGUGGACGUUACUCGCAGAAUAAGCACCGGCUAACUCUGUGCCAGCAGCCGCGGUAAUACAGAGGGUGCAAGCGUUAAUCGGAUUUACUGGGCGUAAAGCGCGCGUAGGCGGCUAAUUAAGUCAAAUGUGAAAUCCCCGAGCUUAACUUGGGAAUUGCAUUCGAUACUGGUUAGCUAGAGUGUGGGAGAGGAUGGUAGAAUUCCAGGUGUAGCGGUGAAAUGCGUAGAGAUCUGGAGGAAUACCGAUGGCGAAAGGCAGCCAUCUGGCCUAACACUGACGCUGAGGUGCGAAAAGCGUGGGGGAGCAAACAGGAUUAGAUACCCCUGGUAGUCCA